rnacentral:sRNA from 1 species
AGGAGAUCCUGUGCCCUGGCGGAGUGGU